GAUGAACGCUGGCGGCGUGCCUAAUACAUGCAAGUCGAGCGAACAGACGAGGAGCUUGCGCCUCUGACGUUAGCGGCGGACGGGUGAGUAACACGUGGAUAACCUACCUAUAAGACUGGGAUAACUUCGGGAAACCGGAGCUAAUACCGGAUAAUAUAUUGAACCGCAUGGUUCAAUAGUGAAAGACGGUUUUGCUGUCACUUAUAGACGGAUCCGCGCCGCAUUAGCUAGUUGGUAAGGUAACGGCUUACCAAGGCAACGAUGCGUAGCCGACCUGAGAGGCUGAUCGGCCACACUGCAACUGACACACGGUCCAGCCUCCUACGGGAGGCUGCAGUAGGGAAUCUUCCGCAAUGGUCGAAAGCCUGACGGAGCAGCACCGCGUGAGUGAUGAAGGUCUUCGGAUCGUAAAGCUCUCUUAUUGUGGAAGAACAAAUGGGUAAUUAUCUAAGCACGUCUUGACGGUACCUAAUCAGUAAGCCACGGCUAACUACGUG
rnacentral:rRNA from 1 species